rnacentral:rRNA from 1 species
UACGGGGGGGCAAGCGUUGUUCGGAAUUACUGGGCGUAAAGGGCUCGUAGGCGGCCAACUAAGUCAGACGUGAAAUCCCCAGGCUCAACCUGGGAACUGCGUCUGAUACUGGAUGGCUUGAGUGUGGAGAGGGAUGCGGAAUUCCAGGUGUAGCGGUGAAAUGCGUAGAUAUCUGGAGGAACACCGGUGGCGAAGGCGGCAUCCUGGACCAUUACUGACACUGAAAAGCGAAAGCCAGGGAGCAAACGGG